AUUGAACGCUGGCGGCAGGCCUAACACAUGCAAGUCGAGCGGCCCGGCGGUGGGGGGAGUAAGGCCUAUGAAUCUGACUGGUAGUGGGGGAUAACGUCCGGAAACGGGCGCUAAUACCGCAUACUAUCACAUGAGGCUCGGCCGGAUUAGCUAGUUGGUGGGGUAAAGGCCUAACAAGGCGACGAUCCGUAACCGGUCUGAGAGGAUGAUCAGUCACACUGGAACUGGGACACGGGCCCGAAUCCUUAGGGAGGGAGCAGGGGGGAAUAUUGGAAAAUGGGCGAAAGCCCGAUCCAGCCAGGCCGCGUGUGUGAAGAAGGUCUUUGGGUUUGAAAACACUUUGAGGUGGUAGACGGUACCAACAGAAUAAGCACCGGCUAACUACGUGCCAGCAGCCGCGGUAAUAC
rnacentral:rRNA from 1 species